rnacentral:rRNA from 1 species
GACGGGGGGGGGGCAAGUGUUCUUCGGUAAGUGACUGGGGCGUAAAGGGGCACGUAGGCGGUGAAUCGGGUUGAAAAGUGAAAGUCGCCAAAAAAGUGGCGGAAUGCUCUCGAAACCAAUUCACUUGAGUGAGACAGAGGAGAGUGGAAUUCCUGGUGUAGCGGUGAAAUGCGCAGAUAUCAGGAAGAACACCCGUGGCGAAGGCGGCUCUCUGGGACGGUACUGACGUGAGACGCGAAAGCGUGGGGAGCGAACAGG